rnacentral:rRNA from 2 species
UGUUUGAUGUUCUAACGUGGACCCGUAAUCCGGGUUGCGGACAGUGUCUGGUGGGUAGUUUGACUGGGGCGGUCUCCUCCUAAAGAGUAACGGAGGAGCACGAAGGUUGGCUAAUCCUGGUCGGACAUCAGGAGGUUAGUGCAAUGGCAUAAGCCAGCUUGACUGCGAGCGUGACGGCGCGAGCAGGUGCGAAAGCAGGUCAUAGUGAUCCGGUGGUUCUGAAUGGAAGGGCCAUCGCUCAACGGAUAAAAGGUACUCCGGGGAUAACAGGCUGAUACCGCCCAAGAGUUCAUAUCGACGGCGGUGUUUGGCACCUCGAUGUCGGCUCAUCACAUCCUGGGGCUGAAGUAGGUCCCAAGGGUAUGGCUGUUCGCCAUUUAAAGUGGUACGCGAGCUGGGUUUAGAACGUCGUGAGACAGUUCGGUCCCUAUCUGCCGUGGGCGCUGGAGAACUGAGGGGGGCUGCUCCUAGUACGAGAGGACCGGAGUGGACGCAUCACUGGUGUUCGGGUUGUCAUGCCAAUGGCACUGCCCGGUAGCUAAAUGCGGAAGAGAUAAGUGCUGAAAGCAUCUAAGCACGAAACUUGCCCCGAGAUGAGUUCUCCCUGAGACUUAGAGUCUCC